rnacentral:rRNA from 1 species
CUUUUGUGGGUGGGUUGACGGUAGCUGGAUAAGAAGCGCCGGCUAACUACGUGCCAGCAGCCGCGGUAAUACGUAGGGCGCGAGCGUUGUCCGGAAUUAUUGGGCGUAAAGAGCUCGUAGGCGGCUGGUCGCGUCUGUCGUGAAAUCCUCUGGCUUAACUGGGGGCUUGCGGUGGGUACGGGCCGGCUUGAGUGCGGUAGGGGAGACUGGAACUCCUGGUGUAGCGGUGGAAUGCGCAGAUAUCAGGAAGAACACCGGUGGCGAAGGCGGGUCUCUGGGCCGUUACUGACGCUGAGGAGCGAAAGCGUGGGGAGCGAACAGGAUUAGAUACCCUGGUAGUCCACGCCGUAAACGUUGGGCACUAGGUGUGGGGGGCCUUUUCCGGGUCUUCCGCGCCGUAGCUAACGCAUUAAGUGCCCCGCCUGGGGAGUACGGCCGCAAGGCUAAAACUCAAAGGAAUUGACGGGGGCCCGCACAAGCGGCGGAGCAUGCGGAUUAAUUCGAUGCAACGCGAAGAACCUUACCAAGGCUUGACAUGUGCCGGUCGGCUCCGGAGACGGGGUUUCCUCCUUGUGGGGCCGGUUCACAGGUGGUGCAUGGUUGUCGUCAGCUCGUGUCGUGAGAUGUUGGGUUAAGUCCCGCAACGAGCGCAACCCUUGUCCCGUGUUGCCAGCACGUUGUGGUGGGGACUCGCGGGAGACUGCCGGGGUCAACUCGGAGGAAGGUGGGGAUGACGUCAAAUCAUCAUGCCCCUUAUGUCUUGGGCUUCACGCAUGCUACGAUGGCCGGUACAGAGGGCUGCGAUACCGUGAGGUGGAGCGAAUCCCUUAAAGCCGGUCUCAGUUCGGAUCGGUGUCUGCAACUCGACACCGUGAAGUUGGAGUCGCUAGUAAUCGCAGAUCAGCAACGCUGCGGUGAAUACGUUCUCGGGCCUUGUACACACCGCC